GCUUAACACAUGCAAGUCGAACGAAAUCUUCGGAUUUAGUGGCGGACGGGUGAGUAACACGUAGGUAACCUGCCUUUCAGUAAGGGAUAACUUGAGGAAACCCAAGCUAAUACCUUAUACGAUCUUCGGAUGAAAGUCUUCGGACGCUGAGAGAGGGGCCUGCGCGGUAUUAGAUUGUUGGUGGGGUAACGGCCUACCAAGUCAACGAUAUCUAGCUGGUCUGAGAGGAUGAUCAGCCACACUGGAACUGAGACACGGUCCAGACUCCUACGGGGGGCAGCAGUGGGGAAUAUUGGACAAUGGGGGAAACCCUGAUCCAGCUACGCCGCGUGAGUGAUGAAGGCCCUCGGGUUGUAAAACUCUGUCGUGAGUGAGGAACGUGACGUUAACUCACAAGAAAGCACCG
rnacentral:rRNA from 1 species